rnacentral:rRNA from 1 species
CCUACGGGAGGCUGCAGUGAGGAAUAUUGGUCAAUGGGCGGGAGCCUGAACCAGCCAAGCCGCGUGAGGGAAGAAGGUACAGCGUAUCGUAAACCUCUUUUGUCAGGGAACAAAGGCGGGGACUAGUCCCCGGAUGAGGGUACCUGAAGAAAAAGCAUCGGCUAACUCCGUGCCAGCAGCCGCGGUAAUACGGAGGAUGCGAGCGUUAUCCGGAUUUAUGGGGUUUAAAGGGUGCGCAGGCGGCCUGUUAAGUCAGCGGUAAAAGCCCGGGGCUCAACCCCGGCGAGCCGUUGAAACUGGCGGGCUGGAGUUGGAGAGAAGUACGCGGAAUGCGAGGUGUAGCGGUGAAAUGCUUAGAUAUCGCGCAGAACCCCGAUUGCGAAGGCAGCGUACCGGCUCCACACUGACGCUGAGGCACGAAAGCGUGGGUAUCGAACAGGAUUAGAUACCCCAGUAGUC